rnacentral:tRNA from 1 species
GUCUUGGUGGCUCAGUUGGUCAGAGCGUUGGUCUCAUAGAGAUAUGAAGCACUCUCAGAGUGAGCUAUCCAAAGGUCGUGAGUUCGAACCUCACCCAGGACA